rnacentral:rRNA from 1 species
AGCGAACGCUGGCGGCAGGCCUAACACAUGCCAGUCGAACGAACCUUUCGGGGUUAGUGGCGGACGGGUGAGUAACACGUGGGAACGUGCCUUUAGGUUCGGAAUAACUCAGGGAAACUUGUGCUAAUACCGAAUGUGCCCUUCGGGGGAAAGAUUUAUCGCCUUUAGAGCGGCCCGCGUCUGAUUAGCUAGUUGGUUGAGGUAAUGGCUCACCAAGGCGACGAUCAGUAGCUGGUCUGAGAGGAUGAUCAGCCACAUUGGGACUGAGACACGGCCCAAACUCCUACGGGAGGCAGCAGUGGGGAAUCUUGCGCAAUGGGCGAAAGCCUGACGCAGCCAUGCCGCGUGAAUGAUGAAGGUCUUAGGAUUGUAAAAUUCUUUCACCGGGGACGAUAAGGACGGUACCCGGAGAAGAAGCCCCGGCUAACUUCGU